rnacentral:lncRNA from 1 species
GCUGAUAUUUGGAGGGUACCUUUUCUAGCCGGGACUUUUUGGUAUUUGAAAUAUUACAGUCUUUGUUUUCACUAGUACAUUUGUUGUCAGUUUUGGGUUUGUUUUUCAUGAAGUUAGUCUAUUAGCUUGCCAAUUUGAAGUUGUUUUAUAACUAGAUAUUCUCUACUGAAAGUUUUAAAUUUGGUUUGUUUUUUUUUUUUUGGAUUAGUAAACAGUCAUUUCUGUAGACAAUUCCUAAUUGAAAAUAGCAGAAUUGUUUUAUAUUCCUAGGAUUCUAAGUCUAACCUAGAUCCUUAAUAUACUCACAGGACUUUUAAAACCCUUUCCUAACUAGGAAGGAAAUACCCUGUUGCUUUCAAAUACUGUACUUUAUUUGCCAAAAGUUGUCUUUAGAAAAACAAAUCUUAAUAGGCAUCUUCCUCUGUCAAGUGUCAGCCCUUUGGCCAUUUACCUUAGGGCUCUUCUAAUGAGAGAGGCAGAGAGAAAACCUGUCUCUGAAAGUUUGAAGACUAAUUUGUUGCCUCACGGGCUGACCAGUUUCCUGGUGUGUUACCUGCUUCUGCUACUGAUCCAAACUGCAGAACUUAUUCAUCCCCAUGGCCUCCAGACAGUAUCCAAUGGGGAAUCCGAUCUAAAAGGAACCAGACCUACGUUUUCCAGCCCUUCAUUCUGUAACAACUACUAUCGAGGAAAGGAUAGAAAACGUUCAGGACAUCAUCAUAUAGACUCCUCAUCUACAAAGUUCAGUAACGGUGACGCCUACACAGAAGACUUGGAACUGCAAACAGGCUGGGGUCACCUCAGUGACAUCUCUUGAUGCACAAACAGAAGUUUGAUUUUUGUUUCGGGGGUGCAGAAGGAAGCAGACUGUAGUAAAACACUAAAGUAAUUUUAUGUCUA